rnacentral:rRNA from 1 species
GAUGAACGCUGGCGGCGUGCUUAACACAUGCAAGUCGAACGGGAAAUACUUUAUUGAAACUUCGGUGGAUUUAAUUUAUUUCUAGUGGCGGACGGGUGAGUAACGCGUGGGUAACCUGCCUUAUACUGGGGGAUAACAGCCAGAAAUGACUGCUAAUACCGCAUAAGCGCACAGAACCGCAUGGUUCCGUGUGAAAAACUCCGGUGGUAUAAGAUGGACCCGCGUUGGAUUAGCUAGUUGGCAGGGCAGCGGCCUACCAAGGCGACGAUCCAUAGCCGGCCUGAGAGGGUGAACGGCCACAUUGGGACUGAGACACGGCCCAGACUCCUACGGGAGGCAGCAGUGGGGAAUAUUGCACAAUGGGGGAAACCCUGAUGCAGCGACGCCGCGUGAAGGAAGAAGUAUCUCGGUAUGUAAACUUCUAUCAGCAGGGAAGAUAAUGACGGUA